rnacentral:rRNA from 1 species
GAUGAAUGCUGGCGGCGUGCCUAAUACAUGCAAGUCGCGCGAAUGGAUUAAGAGCUUGCUCUUAUGAAGUUAGCGGCGGACGGGUGAGUAACACGUGGGUAACCUGCCCAUAAGACUGGGAUAACUCCGGGAAACCGGGGCCAAUACCGGAUAACAUUUUGAACCGCAUGGUUCGAAAUUGAAAGGCGGCUUCGGCUGUCACUUAUGGAUGGACCAGCGCCGCAUUAGCUAGUUGGUGAGGUAACGGCUCACCAAGGCAACGAUGCGUAGCCGACCUGAGAGGGUGAUCGGCCACACUGGGACUGAGACACGGCCCAGACUCCUACGGGAGGCAGCAGUAGGGAAUCUUCCGCAAUGGACGAAAGUCUGACGGAGCAACGCCGCGUGAGUGAUGAAGGCUUUCGGGUCGUAAAACUCUGUUGUUAGGGAAGAACAAGUGCUAGUUGAAUAAGCUGACACCUUGACGGUACCUAACCAGAAAGCCACGGCUAACUACGUGCCAGCAGCCGCGGUAA